rnacentral:tRNA from 3 species
GGAGAGGUGGGUGAGUUCGGUUUAAACCACAUUCCUGCUAAGAAUGCGGCCUGCGAAAGUGGGCCCGAGGGUUCAAAUCCCUCCCUCUCCGCCA